UGUUAAUGCGAUAAUUGCAGUAUAAAACUACAUUUAUAUGUAGGACUAUCAACAUAAAAUCAGUGGUCAGUUUAGUAGGCGAAAUAUUUCACUGUUUUACUUGAAGUUAAUUUGUUUUGUUUUUAAAACUUAAUCCAGUAAUCUUCAUACAGGGAAGAUAUUCCUCAGCUUUCACACAUCAUUUUCUUUUUAUCCAACAUCUAAAGUCCUGGCGAGCGAGUACACACUUGAUCUCUUUAAGGCAACAACUAGAGGAUCUGGCUCACCUUGAUUUAUGAGCAUGUAAAACAAUGGACACAGAUAAAUUAAUGACAAAUUGGUGUUUUGGUGAUGUGUUUGUAGAUACUUUACUUAACAUUAUUGCUGUUUUAUAGUUUAUCUCCAUCUCUAAUAAUAUUCAAGAUGAUAUCCAAAAUCUGCAAAAUUUCCUUAAAAUUACUAAUUCUGGGGCAGCAGCUCAACAGCGGGUUGUCCGAUUUGUCUGAAAUUUUCAGGGCAGAUAGAUCUCGACACCUAAUAAACAAUUUCACCCCAUGUCAGAUUUGCUCUUAAUGCUUUGGUUUCAGAAAUAUAGGCCAAAAUCUACAUUUUAUGCUUUUACCCAUGGCGGCCAUCUUGGUUGGUUGGCCGGGUCAUCGGACACAUUUUUUAAACAAGAUACCCCAAUGAUGAUUGUUGCCAAGUUUGGUUAAUUUGUCCCAGUAGUUUCAGAGGAUUAGAUUAUUGUAAAAUUGAGGGACGGACGACGAGUGAUAAAAAGGCACCUCUUAAAGGUAGAUUGUCCCGAUAGCUUUCUCUGCCAAUUGUGAAGUUUUCUGAAACAGAACAAGAACUUACAAGUCCUCAUAUGCUAAUUAACUUCCACAAGAGGCGACAUUUACACUUCAAGCAAAAGCCCAUUUUAAGAAAAUACUUCUAGCUUUCUUGGAUCUUUGCUAGUUUAGUUUAAACAUAUUUAUUUAUAAUGGAUUGGGAAACAAGUUUUGCAACUUAUAUUAAUCCCUUUCCACUUUUUGGGAGCUGGAACCAAAAGUUUUAUGGCUUAUGGUGUUUGCUAGUCUUCAAUGUACAGUUGUGUCAUCUAUUUGACUGAACUGGGAGCACACAUAGGUACCCUGGUAGUGAUGUUAACUUGAUCACUUCUUUUGCUAAAAUGUGCAAUGUAACUUGUUCAAGUUUCCAUCAACUUUAUAUUGAAAAUUCCAAGAAAUAAAAAAGAGGCUCUCAAGAGCCUGAAUCGCUCACCUGGUAAACAAUGCCUUAUUGAACAUAUUGAACCAUGCCAGGCAAACAUGUACAGCUAACAAUUCUUCAAUAUUAGAAAUACAAGUUCUACCAUGUUUACACGUUUCCUUCUAAUAUAAUAUGCAUACAAGAAG
rnacentral:lncRNA from 1 species